GUCCUACGGGGGGCAGCAGUGAGGAAUAUUGGUCAAUGGCCGAGAGGCUGAACCAGCCAAGUCGCGUGAGGGAUGACGGCCCUACGGGUUGUAAACCUCUUUUGCCGGGGAGCAAAGAGCGGGACGCGUCCCGCCUCGAGAGUACCCGGAGAAAAAGCAUCGGCUAACUCCGUGCCAGCAGCCGCGGUAAUACGGAGGAUGCGAGCGUUAUCCGGAUUUACUGGGUUUAAAGGGUGCGUAGGCGGACUGUUAAGUCAGCGGUAAAAUCCCGGGGCUCAACCCCGGCGAGCCGUUGAAACUGGCUG
rnacentral:rRNA from 1 species